CGUAGGGUGCAAGCGUUAAUCGGAAUUACUGGGCGUAAAGCGUGCGCAGGCGGUUAUGUAAGACAGAGGUGAAAUCCCCGGGCUCAACCUGGGAACUGCCUUUGUGACUGCAUAGCUAGAGUACGGCAGAGGGGGAUGGAAUUCCGCGUGUAGCAGUGAAAUGCGUAGAUAUGCGGAGGAACACCGAUGGCGAAGGCAAUCCCCUGGGCCUGACUGACGCUCAUGCACGAAAGCGUGGGGAGCAAACAGGAUUAGAUACCCUGGUAGUCCACGCCCUAAACGAUGUCAACUGGUUGUUGGGUCUUUACUGACUCAGUAACGAGCUAACGCUAGAGUUGACCGCCUGGGGAGUACGGCCGCAAGGUUG
rnacentral:rRNA from 1 species